GGUGUGGCGUUCUGGUUGCCACGGGCUACCCACUGCGGCGCGGGGGAGGGGGGGAGGCGCGGGGGUAGGAGGUUGGCAGUGUGCUUGUGCCCAGCUGGAAGUUGGCAUCAUCAUCGUGGGGACCGAUUAUGCUAGCGAUAGAAUACUUCCCCGUGGCGCUGAGAAACUGAAACUGUGCGAUCCUCUCCUCCGUCCAGGCCACCCUCGCUGGAUAUUUCCCAGGUUCUGUCCGGAAAGCAAGCCAAGUCCGAGGAUAGUGUUAUAAAGAACCUAGAACCGAACCAGUCUCACCCUCCUCAAGGACUCAACCCUCUGCCCCCAGUGGGGUGAAGCUAUCACCCCACUGGGCCAGCUGGCUCAAGGCCAGGGGCAGGUGGAAGAAGCGUGUCUAGAUGGGAAGAAGGCCGAUCUCACAGAAGCCGUGAAGGGCACCGUGGGCUUCAGACGGUGGCGACACAGCUGGGGAGCAGGAGGCCAAGAACCCCACCCUCCUCUGCGGCUGGAAUCUGUGGCCAGUCAGGUUACUUCUGAAAAUGGCAGCUUCCUCACCUGUGCAGUGACCGCCUCACCUCUCAAGCUGCUGCAUUUGUGCCUGUGUCUUGGUCCCGGGGAAGUCCCGGGUUCUCCUUUGCUGACCACUUUCUGAGACGGCGGACAGCUCCUGCCUAACUUGACCACUGUUCACAUUGCACUGGCUCUUCCCCGCUCCUCCCUGCACAUCGCACACGAGCUGAACUCACAUCGAAAGACGGCUGGACACCCUGGCUGCGCCUCCAAACUGCUGCUCUGCAUUCACACAGAUGGGAGUCUUUCCCGCAGUCGGAACGGAAUGGAUUUUUCGUUCACUUAUCACACUUUGUACACAAUAAAAGUUACCCCUUUCACA